GGGGAUGUCGGGUUUCGACAGACAAGCUGUUGAAAGGAUUGCAGGCCGAGGUGCCGGUACGCUCUCUCGUUAAACAACCGGCGAAAAAAUAACUGCCAACAAGGCGAAUUACUCCUACGCUCUCGCCGCUUAAUUAGGCGAGCGUCGUCCCUCUGACCUUUGCCUGUGGGGUCAGAUGCGGGCGUCGACGACAUGGGCUGCGAUGCCGAUGACCACCCUCUAGUCGGCGUCUAAGACCAGAGGGUCAGCGCUGAGGAAUCCUGUCGGUGGGAGUCCUCUGCGUGUAGGCAAUACACCGACUAAGCCUGUAGGAUAUCCUUUAACAGGUUUGCCUGGACGGGGAGUUCGACUCUCCCCCAUCUCCACCA
rnacentral:tmRNA from 1 species